GUUCGAUGUUAAGCAUUUUUAUUUCUUAUGUAUUCCUGACACAUGAUUUUACCAGCCUCAAUUCAAUGAACAGUAACAAAAGUUACAAAGACAAACUGCAAUCCAACAGCAUUGAAAGUGUUGGGUUAUCGGUGUGACCCAGGAACUGAGCCCCGCCACCGCCCCGUUGUAGAAAAUGUCUCCCUGUCAUCCCGUGAUUGGCCCAUUCCAGGCAUGGGGGAGGGUGGUGAGCCCCGAAUCACAGCCAGUCAGGUGUUUAGGGCCGACUACUGCUUUCAUGUCGCAUUACGGCUUAUUUGGAAAAGUAUGACAACAAGGCAUAAGGAAUUUUCUGGCGCUUAACUGACAAGAAAGAAAAGGUCUUUCUUCAUUCGGGCGCAAAAUUUUUAGUCAAGAGAUUCCUACAAGGAAUUUCCGUUUAUUGGCCUGUCUGAGAAAUGCUGUUUAUUUCCAUCUCUUGUCAGACAAAAAUGAAGCAGGGCAUUCAAAAGGGCAGUUUUCUUCUCUGAAUAAACAUCCAGUAUAAGCAAGGAAAAAAGUGUCAAAUCAGGCUUCAUUUCCGCUCAGUGACGUGGACUAUGAACAAUACAUUGUUGGGAAAAUUCUCGGCCUGAGGAGAAGGAUGGUGAAGCUGGGUAUUUGCUGAAAGGGAUUGGUGUUUCAAACAAUGGUAGCCCAAGAAAAUCUUUAUUGUAAUAAUUUGAUUGCAGCAUUCAAAAGCAAACGUCUACCGUUGAAUGAGAAUCCUGAAAACAAGCUAAGCCAAGAGAAGAAAAGUGGAGAAAAAAGGAACUUAAGCCCAGUUUUCUCCAUGUUAUUAUGGAUGCCCAGUCUUCCAACAGGAUUUGAUCGAAAUGUAGAGGCGAAGACAAUUUUAGGAGCGAGCGAUGACGGUGACGAAACUAUAUAGAUAGUUGUAGUGAUGUGUAAAGAAUGGUGGUUACAGGGCAGGAGAGUUAUUCUAUUAUACAGUCCUGUUCCAUUUUUAUUAUAAAUUGUCUUUUUAGCUGCUGAAUGUAGCUGGAAUAUGAAAUAUUGGAAUGGCUGACCAGAAUUACAAACACAUUUUUGCAGCAGUUUUUCAGCGAUAACAAUGCUCAGAAUAAUUCGGCUGAGUAUAAUAUUUUUAACUAGCAACAAUGAACAUUGAAUGAUUGUAUUCUACAUGGCAUUAUAGCUGCCCAGACUUCUAACAAGAAUUAAUCAAAA